rnacentral:rRNA from 1 species
UACGUAGGGUGCAAGCGUUGUCCGGAAUUAUUGGGCGUAAAGAGCUCGUAGGCGGUUUGUCGCGUCGAAUGUGAAAACCCGGGGCUCAACCCCGGGCCUGCAUUCGAUACGGGCAGACUAGAGUUCGGUAGGGGAGUCUGGAAUUCCUGGUGUAGCGGUGAAAUGCGCAGAUAUCGGGAGGAACACCCGUAGCGAAGGCGGCACCCUGGGCCGGUACUGACGCUGAGGAGCGAAAGCGUGGGGAGCAAACAGG